GACGAACGCUGGCGGCGUGCUUAACACAUGCAAGUCGAACGGAAAGGCCCUGCUUUUGUGGGGUGCUCGAGUGGCGAACGGGUGAGUAACACGUGAGUUACCUGCCCUUGACUUUGGGAUAACUUCAGGAAACUGGGGCUAAUACCGGAUAGGAGCUCCUUCUGUAUGGUGGGGGUUGGAAAGUUUCGGCGGUUGGGGAUGGACUCGCGGCUUAUCAGAUUGUUGGUGGGGCAGUGGCUUACCAAGGCUUUGACGGGUAGCCGGCCUGAGAGGGUGACCGGCCACAUUGGGACUGAGAUACGGCCCAGACUCCUACGGGAGGCAGCAGUGGGGAAUAGUGCACAAUGGGCGGAAGCCUGAUGCAGCAACGCCGCGUGCGGGAUGACGGCCUUCGGGUGGUAAACCGCUUUCGCCUGUGACGAAGCGUGAGUGACGGUAAUGGGUAAAGAAGCACCGGCUAACUACGUG
rnacentral:rRNA from 1 species